GGAGGAUUACCCAAGUCCGGUGGACGGGCACGGUCUUGAAAACCGACAGGCGUGUGAACGCGUGCGUGGGUUCGAACGCCACAUCCUCCU
rnacentral:tRNA from 1 species